rnacentral:sRNA from 1 species
GGUAAUAACCACUAACUGACAGACUUGCUUUUCCAUAAGUUUAAGCUUUUAUCACUGAGAUCCCAUCUGUUGCCAUCCCUCAGAAAGUCAAGGACUUGUGUAGAUGGAGUGCAUGCACAGAGUAUGUUCCUGAAAGUAUCUCAUGUUUUCAACAUGAAAUUUUCUGUUUCUAAGACCAAGUAAAGAAAAUUUGCUUUUACACCCCUUAGGGGAGCAAAAUUAUGUGUGGUUAAAACCCAGCGGAAGGCAAAACAAGCUGAGACUCUAACUCAGGACUACAUCAUCACCCCUCAUGCCUUGCCUAUGUUCCGUGAGCCCCGCCAACGGAGUACAAGGAAACAGCUGGAGAAGGACAGACUGGAUCCCUUGAAGUCGCAUAAACCCGAACCUCCUGUAGCAGGCCCAGGUCGUGGUGGCCGAGUUGGAACCCACGGGGGUACUCUGUCUUCCUAUAUUGUGAAGAACAUUGCUUUGGACAAGACCGAUGACAGUAAUCCUCGGGAAGCCAUUUUGCGUCAUGCCAAAGCAGCAGAAGACAACCCAUAUUGGGUUUCUCCAGCAUAUUCCAAGACUCAGCCCAAAACCAUGUUUGCCCAAGUUGAAUCUGAUGAUGAGGAAGCAAAGAAUGAGCCAGAAUGGAAAAAACGUAAAAUUUGAAGAAUCUCAUUUGAGAGCUGUUUGCAUGAGUGGGAGGGAUAUGGGACAGGUUUUAGGGUUUUUUUUUCUUAUGCUCAUGAAAUUAAAAAUUCAUUUUUAUGAA